UACGUAGGGUGCAAGCGUUAAUCGGAAUUACUGGGCGUAGAGCGUGCGCAGGCGGUUCUAUAAGACAGAUGUGAAAUCCCCGGGCUCAACCUGGGAACUGCAUUUGUGACUGUAGAGCUGGAGUACGGCAGAGGGGGAUGGAAUUCCGCGUGUAGCAGUGAAAUGCGUAGAUAUGCGGAGGAACACCGAUGGCGAAGGCAAUCCCCUGGGCCUGUACUGACGCUCAUGCACGAAAGCGUGGGGAGCAAACAGG
rnacentral:rRNA from 1 species